GAUCCAGUACCCUGAAUCUGCUUUUCCUCCAUAGUCUUCAAUCUUGGAUUUGGUUCCUUGCUCCACCUUAUAUCUUCUAAUAUUCAGAGCCCCAACCAAGCCCAUCAAACUCCUCAUCACUUAAACCUUGAGCUCGUGGAGAGCUACGCACUGCCUCUACCCUGGGACCACUCCUGUCCUAGCUAUAGGACCCAAACCAAUCCUAGCCUCCUGAAGCCAACACCCUGACUCCUCUUGUGGCCUCCUAAGGCCUAGGAGCACCACACCAACUCCAUAAAGUGAGUCUCAUCCCAUCUCACCAAUGCUACCACCUUCUGCCAAGUGGAGAGCCAGGCCAACAACCAGGUGCAGCCACUGAUAAUGGAAACUCCUCCACUAGCCCAGCUAGCACUGGUCACGAUAGACCAGUUGAAUCUACUCUUUCGAUAGGUUUAGACUUUGAUGGCUGCCAUCCAAAUGAUCCAAACCAUCCUUGCACCUCCAUCGGUGGCACCACAGCCUAAUCAGGCUGCUCCUGCAUCUCCUGCAGUGGUGCCACUAAUAGCUCCUAUGGUGGCACCCCCAUCAGAUCUAGCUCCACGGCCACCACUAAAAUCAGAAUGGUUACAGGCACCUCCAUAGAGUCCAAAGAGGAGGCAAACCCACCAGAGCUGCCUCA
rnacentral:lncRNA from 1 species